GGCCCGCGGCUCGGCUCUGCCAGUUCCUGCGCCACGGCUGGCCUGGGGGCGAGGUGGCCCAAAGGUGGAGCGCAGAAAGAAAGGAAACUUCUCUUCCAUCUACCCAGGAUGCAGCUUGGUCCCCUCCACGACCAGGGGGCGGCAACGGGGUCGGCGCUGAGUGCACAGAGGUGAUUGCAGCCUCAUGUUAAGUGUAACCAUCUGCACAGUGAGCUCGGGGCAGGAGGCAUCGUGGAGACGGCGGCUGACUUAGCCUCUCGAGCUGACAAAGAUCGACUUCGGGAGAGGUGGUGAUGAAUCAUAAACGCUGCCCAGCAGGGGAGUCAGAAGAAUUGCAUUGUCCAAGGAGAGCCUUUCUUUGUGUCUCUAAUAUUUAAGCCGAUGGCUUUAAGAGAAAUUUAUGAUCAGCCAUGAUUGGAGCUACUACCCAUGGACAUCUGUUAGACAGGCAGUAGAUGGUUUGCUAAUAGAAAUAUUUAUAAAUUGAGCUAUAUUAAAUUGUGUCUUGAGAAGGAACCAGCUUUAAAGUUUUUUCCUGAUUUUCUUGGCCGCGUUCUUUCACGGUUCUGAGGCACUGCAAUGGGGCUGGAUUCAAGACUCUUCAGUGACACUCAUGGGGAGUGACAGAGGUGCUGAGUGGCAGCUGUAAUCUCUCCAGUUUGAGAAAGUUGAGGAAGAAGGAAAUCGAUAGUUGGCCCAGAGUUUUCCAGUAACGUGAGAGAACUAUGGUCCUUCCUGGGGCCGAUUCUUCUUGAAAUGCUGGCCCUGCACGAACAGGAUUCGAGGGCCUGUCCUGGCUUUACCUGCUGGAACAUCGUGCUCUUCCUUUGUCAGAGAUAA
rnacentral:lncRNA from 1 species